UAAGGUUGGGCAGUCAGGUGUGAAUUUGAUGCAUUUCAACUUUGUGGUCGGAUGAGAUGAUUUCUUAUUAAAAAAAUGUUUUGCAAUCAGGAGUUAGAAUCCAAACUGUUCUCAAUUUUAUGCUGCUUAUCAUUCAUGUUUUUCGUAUUAGUUGCUAUAAUUGGAUUUCGUAUGAAUGUCACAAAGUAUAAGAGUGCCUGUAAAAAAGGAGAUCACACUCUUUGCUUUGACAUGUUUCUUUUGGUUUUGAGAUCCUGAACCUUAAAUUGGAGACCGCACUCUUUGCUUUGACAUGUUUCUUUUGGUUUUGUGAUCCUGAACCUUAAAUAAUGUACUCCCC
rnacentral:lncRNA from 1 species